GACGAACGCUGGCGGCGUGCCUAAUACAUGCAAGUCGAGCGAAUCUUUAGGAGCUUGCUCCUGAAGGUUAGCGGCGGACGGGUGAGUAACCCGUGGGCGACCUGCCUGUAAGACUGGGAUAACACCGGGAAACCGGUGCUAAUACCGGAUAAUUCUUUUCCUCACAUGAGGGAAGGCUGAAAGUCGGUUUCGGCUGACACUUACAGAUGGGCCCGCGGCGGAUUAGCUAGUUGGUGAGGUAACGGCUCACCAAGGCGACGAUGCGUAGCCGACCUGAGAGGGUGAUCGGCCACACUGGGACUGAGUCACGGCCCAGACUCCUACGGGAGGCAGCAGUAGGGAAUCUUCCGCAAUGGACGAAAGUCUGACGGAGCAACGCCGCGUGAGUGAUGAAGGCCUUCGGGUCGUAAAACUCUGUUGUUAGGGAAGAACAAGUACCGGAGUAACUGCCGGUACCUUGACGGUACCUAACCAGAAAGCCACGGCUAACUACGUGCCAGCAGCCGCGGUAAGAC
rnacentral:rRNA from 1 species